rnacentral:misc_RNA from 1 species
AACGCAAGUUGCGCCCCAAGCCAUUAGGCCGAGGGCACGUCUGCCUGGGUGUCACGCAUCGUCGCCCCCAUCCAACCCGAGCCCUCGGGCCCCGGUUGAACUGUGGGCGGAAAUUGGCCUCCCGCGCGCUCACCGCCGGCGGUUGGCCUAAAUACGAGUCCUCGACGACGGCAUCGUCACGACGAUCGGUGGUAAUGCUAUAGGCUGCCUCGUUCGGAGUCGUGCACGUUCGUCGAUCGAGACCCCCGACCCUUUCGGCAUCGCAAGGACGGUGCUCGCAUCGCGACCCCAGGUCAGGCGGGAUUACCCGCUGAGUUUAA